ACCAUCAGUUCUGAAGUCUGCUGGUCUGAGGAUGUGUCGCAUGGCCUCGUGGCCUUGGGGUCCCAGCACGGCCAUGCUAGAUGUGCUGGGAAGGGCCCUGAUGGAAAUCCCUUACGCAAAUAGUCACAGUAUGCAAGGACUACUGUAACUUGCCGGAGUGCAACAAUCUUGUGACACUGCAUGCCAGACUUCCAGCAAGAAUUUCCCAAUGAGGAGCAUCAACUAAAUUAUCCUCGCUUGAUCACUGCCAGAUACUACUAGUGGGCCAAUAGAAAAAAAUAAUGGCUUUGCUAUUUCACAGCUUCCUGAAAUGCUGAUCCUCUCAUGGUGAGACCCAGAAGAUUUCGAUUGAAACUGGAAAAGCUAGGAGACCUACGUUAAAGAAAUUUGAGCACUCACAAAUUGAGUUGUCCAGUUCUCAAGUCCAGCAGGAAAAAAAAAAAAAAAGGGAGACUGAGGCUGUGGAAGGCCAUCCCGGCUAACCUAAUACUUCAGGGAACUCUGUCUUCGGCUCUGUCAGUGGGACAGCAAGGCAGAGGCUGCGAACUGCAAGUGUGAAAAGAAAAAGACAGUGAAUGUCUUCUGCAGGCCUCUGUGUUCCGGGAAAGGACUGUGGAAGUCAGUAAAGCGAACAAGGGGUUAAUACCUGUUUGCAGCUUGCACGGCAGUGAAAGGAGACGCCAGCGGUGACCAGGCGCUUUGCCGCAACCUGGACGGCAGGAGAAAAGCAGACCGACAGACACCAGACGGCCGUGAAAGCAGUGCAAACGCUUUUGCUGCGCGCUCGCAUCUGCGGGAAGAAGGUGUCCGCAAAUAAAGGGCUCAUUGUUCUGCGAGUGCUUUAAA